UACGGGGGGGGCAAGCGUUGUUCGGAAUUACUGGGCGUAAAGGGCUCGUAGGCGGCCAACUAAGUCGGACGUGAAAUCCCUCGGCUUAACCGGGGAACUGCGUCCGAUACUGGAUGGCUUGAGAUUGGGAGAGGGAUGCGGAAUUCCAGGUGUAGCGGUGAAAUGCGUAGAUAUCUGGAGGAACACCGGUGGCGAAGGCGGCAUCCUGGACCAACACUGACGCUGAUGAGCGAAAGCCGGGGGAGCAAACGGG
rnacentral:rRNA from 1 species